rnacentral:rRNA from 1 species
CCUACGGGAGACAGCAGUGAGGAAUAUUGGUCAAUGGGCGAGAGCCUGAACCAGCCAAGUCGCGUGAGGGAGUACUGCCCUAUGGGUUGUAAACCUCUUUUGUCGGGGAGCAAAAGCCGGACGUGUCCGGCUGUGAGAUUACCAGAAGAAAAAGCAUCGGCUAACUCCGGGCCAACAGCCGAGGUAAUACGGAGGAUGCGAGCGUUAUCGGGAUUUAUUGGGGUUACAGGGUGCGCAGGCGGAUUUUUAAGUCAGCGGUAAAAUCGUGGGGCUCAACCCCAUCCAGCCGUUGAAACUGGUGAUCUAGAGUGUGCGAGAGGGAUGCGGAAUGCGUGGUGGAGCGGUGAAAUGCAUAGAUAUCACGCGGAACCCCGAUUGCGAAGGCAGCAUACCGGUGCCCAACUGACGCUCAGGCACGAAAGCGUGGGUAUCGAACAGGAUUAGAUACCCCGGUAGUC